rnacentral:rRNA from 1 species
GAUGAGUUGCGAACGGGUGAGUAACGCGUAGGUAACCUGCCUUGUAGCGGGGGAUAACUAUUGGAAACGAUAGCUAAUACCGCAUAACAAUGGAUGACACAUGUCAUUUAUUUGAAAGGGGCAAUUGCUCCACUACAAGAUGGACCUGCGUUGUAUUAGCUAGUAGGUGAGGUAAUGGCUCACCUAGGCGACGAUACAUAGCCGACCUGAGAGGGUGAUCGGCCACACUGGGACUGAGACACGGCCCAGACUCCUACGGGAGGCAGCAGUAGGGAAUCUUCGGCAAUGGGGGCAACCCUGACCGAGCAACGCCGCGUGAGUGAAGAAGGUUUUCGGAUCGUAAAGCUCUGUUGUAAGUCAAGAACGGGUGUGAGAGUGGAAAGUUCACACUGUGACGGUAGCUUACCAGAAAGGGACGGCUAACUACGUGCCAGCAGCCGCGGUAAUACGUAGGUCCCGAGCGUUGUCCGGAUUUAUUGGGCGUAAAGCGAGCGCAGGCGGUUUGAUAAGUCUGAAGUUAAAGGCUGUGGCUCAACCAUAG